rnacentral:rRNA from 1 species
UACCAGCACCCCGAGUGGUCGGGACGUUUUAUUGGGCCUAAAGCAUCCGUAGCCGGUUCUACAAGUCUUCCGUUAAAUCCACCUGCUUAACAGAUGGGCUGCGGAAGAUACUAUAGAGCUAGGAGGCGGGAGAGGCAAGCGGUACUCAGUGGGUAGGGGUAAAAAUCCUCUGAUCCACUGAAGACCACCAGUGGCGAAGGCGGCUUGCCAGAACGUGCUCGACGGUGAGGGAUGAAAGCUGGGGGGAGCAAACCGG